rfam:Homo sapiens chromosome 19, GRCh38 reference primary assembly.
GCCGGGCGUGGUGGCUCACGCCUGUAAUCCCCGCUACUCAGGAGGCUGAGGCAGGCGGAUCUCCUUUGGUCAGGAGUUCGAGGCCAGCCUGGCCAACAUGGUGAAACCCUGUCUCUA